CGGAGGGUGCGAACGUUGCUCGGAAUUAUUGGGCGUAAAGCGAACGUAGGCGGUCCGGUAAGUCGGAUGUGAAAGCCCUCGGCUUAACCGAGGAAGUGCAUUCGAAACUGUCGGACUUGAGUAUGAAAGAGGGUCGCGGAAUUCCCGGUGUAGAGGUGAAAUUCGUAGAUAUCGGGAGGAACACCAGUGGCGAAGGCGGCGACCUGGUUCAAUACUGACGCUGAGGUUCGAAAGCGUGGGGAGCAAACAGGAUUAGAUACCCUGGUAGUCCACGCUGUAAACGAUGGGUGCUAGGUGUUGCAGGUAUUGACCCCUGCGGCGCCGCAGCUAACGCAUUAAGCACCCCGCCUGGGGACUACGGCCGCAAGGCUA
rnacentral:rRNA from 1 species